rnacentral:lncRNA from 1 species
AUUUGGUUUAGGGUUUGGUUAGGAUUUGGUUUAGGGUUUGGUUAGGAUUUGGUUUAGGAUUUAGGAUUUAGUUUAGGAUUUAGGAUUUAAAUUAGGAUUUGAUUUAGGAUUUAGGAUUUGAUUAGGAUUUGGUUUAGGAUUUGGUUAGGGUUUGGUUUAGGAUUUAGGAUUUGGAUUAAGGUUUGGAUUAGGGUUUGGUUUAGGGUUUAGGAUUUGGUUAGGAUUUGAUUUAGGAUUUAGAGUUUGGUUAGGAUUUUAUUUAGGAUUUAGGAUUUGGUUUAGGAUUUAAGAUUUUAUUAGGAUUUAAGAUUUAAUUAUUUUUGGCCUAAAGUUUGAAUGAAGUCCAAUAGGAUUUUAACUAGAAUUAAAUUAAGAUUGAAUUGAGAUGUAUUUGAGUGAUAUUUGUCAACCUUUUAAUAUUUCUUUAAGAAUUUUUUAUUGUUGUUUGAAAUUUCUUUGAGGUUUUUUUGAAUUUGAUUAAGCU